GAUGAACGCUAGCUACAGGCUUAACACAUGCAAGUCGAGGGGCAGCAUGGAGAUUGCUUGCAAUCUUUGAUGGCGACCGGCGCACGGGUGAGUAACGCGUAUCCAACCUGCCUGCAAGUAGGGAAUAGCCCGGAGAAAUUCGGAUUAAUGCCCUAUGUGGCCCUUUGAUGACAUCUGAAGAGGGUUAAAGAUUUAUUGCUUGCGGAUGGGGAUGCGUCCGAUUAGGCAGACGGCGGGGUAACGGCCCACCGUGCCAUCGAUCGGUAGGGGUUCUGAGAGGAAGGUCCCCCACACUGGUACUGAGACACGGACCAGACUCC
rnacentral:rRNA from 1 species